GACGAACGCUGGCGGCGUGCCUAACACAUGCAAGUCGAACGGGGCAGAGAGCUACGGUUAUCUGCUUAGUGGCGAACGGGUGAGUAACGCGUGAGGAACCUACCUCUCAGUGGGGGACAACAGUUGGAAACGGCUGCUAAUACCGCAUAAUGUAUUCUGGGGGCAUCCCCGGGAUACCAAAGAUUUAUUGCUGAGAGAUGGCCUCGCGUCUGAUUAGCUGGUUGGUGGGGUAACGGCCUACCAAGGCGACGAUCAGUAGCCGGACUGAGAGGUUGAACGGCCACAUUGGGACUGAGAUACGGCCCAG
rnacentral:rRNA from 1 species